UGGCUCAGACGAACGCUGGCGGCGUGCUUAAUACAUGCAAGUCGUACGAAUUGAUUAAGGAGCUGCUCCUUAUGACGUUAGUGGCGACGGGUGAGUAACACGUGGGUAACCUACCUUCAAGAGGGGGAUAACAUCCGGAAACGGGUGCUAAUACCGCAUAGUUUCAGCUUCCGCAUGGAAGCCGAAGGAAAGACGGCCUUUGUGCUGUCACUUGGAGAUGGACCCGCGGCGCAUUAGUUAGUUGGUAGGGUAACGGCCUACCAAGACGAUGAUGCGUAGCCGACCUGAGAGGGUGAUCGGCCACAUUGGGACUGAGACACGGCCCAAACUCCUACGGGAGGCAGCAGUAGGGAAUCUUCCGCAAUGGACGAAAGUCUGACGGAGCAACGCCGCGUGAGUGAAGAAGGUUUUCGGAUCGUAAAACUCUGUUGUUGGAGAAGAACAAGUAGGAGAGUAACUACUCUUACCUUGACGGUACCCAACCAGAAAGCCACGGCUAACUACGUGCCAGCAGCCGCGGUAAUACGUAGGUGGCAAGCGUUGUCCGGAUUUAUUGGGCGUAAAGCGAGCGCAGGCGGUUUCUUAAGUCUGAUGUGAAAGCCCACGGCUCAACCGUGGAAGGUCAUUGGAAACUGGGGAACUUGAAUGCAGAAGAGGAGAGUGGAAUUCCAUGUGUAGCGGUGAAAUGCGUAGAUAUAUGGAGGAACACCAGUGGCGAAGGCGACUCUCUGGUCUGUAAUUGACGCUGAGGC
rnacentral:rRNA from 1 species